AAAAACGCUGUACAAAAUAUCGCUGUAUAAGAGGUGCUGUAUAAUUUUUUGAACAGCACAUGUUUAAGCUUUGAUAAAUAUCGGUAUAAAACACGGCGAAUUGACCUGUUUAAGGUCCGUAGACAGAAGGCUUGAACAGGGGGUUGUACAAGAUACCGGCACAUGUAAAGCGCAUGCGUACGCGUGCGCAGUGCUAUGCUAGUGGUCGGAAGAUGGCGUUGAGUAUGUUCGACUCGGAGACUGCUGCAGUGCACUGGAAAAAUCGUGUUUAAUCUCCGUUUUAGAAAAUGAAAGAUUUGGGGGUGACAAACCUGCUUCAGGAGUGGGACUUCCCACAUUUAGUUCCAAUCUUUAGAGUUAAAUGUUGCAGAAGAUGAGCACGAAGUCACCUACUGGAUGCAAUAUUACUCAUCACCUGACAACAUUGUUGUUAAUGUGACGAACCUCGGUACUGAGAUAUGAGUUGACUAGAGGAAACCCGCGACCAAGCACAGCAGAAAUUCUUGACAAAUAUCUACAGCUUUUGGGAAUGAUUGAUCAAGACUUUGAUUUAACAAUUGAUGCAGCUCCUGGUGCCCUUUUCACAAUGUGGCCAAAGUUGUCCAGGCAGACUUUGGAAUUUGCGGAGAAGAUUAAUCCAGGGUAUAGAAAGAUCCUAGGGGCUGGAGUGGACCAGAAAAUGACGCAGAGUCAACAAUGAAGAAAAUUUGGCUUUCAGUACUUCCUGGGAUUUUGAUCGGCAGAACGAAAGGGGAAUGAGGCAAAUUAAAUGUGCCGUACUUCAAAGUCUUGAAUCUUUCAUCAAUCUCCAAUUAGAAGGAGCAUGAACAAAAAGAAGAUGAACAGGAAUUGACAAUGGCGCGUUCCAUACCUGGGAGUGAUUGCACAGUGGCACCCUUGGACCUAAUUUCACCCUGACAUCAAGUCUGUUUUAAGGAGAACCAUGAGAGAAAUUAAUAAAUUAAAGUUUGCCGAAUAUCAAAGAAUAACAGAGUUAUGAGGCUUCAAAGUUUUAAAUUUGUGACAUGACAUGCGAGCAGCUCCCAAUAUGUCAAUCAUGUAAUAUAAAUUCCAUAAAUUGCCAUUUUUUAAUGGUUUUUGUCUCACCUGAGACGG